ACCACCAACAACAACAACAACAACAACAGGUCAACACGGUGAUUGUACAGGUUCUUCUGAUCUGGACUUGGUCAUGUUGGCUCUGCGUGUGGCUGAACUCCUCCUGAUUACUGUGAUCACUGUUCUUCUCUUCAGAGCUCGAGGGAACCAGAGACCACCUGAUGACAUCACUGUGUAUUAUGAUGGAGAUGAAGGCUCAGUGAACUAUGAAAAUGUUGGAGAACCUUCUGCUUCUGUCAGACUCCACUGAUCAACAACUUCCACACAAACAUCCACUCAGCAGAUACAUUAAUCCACCGCUUUUAAUCAUUUCUAUAUUGUACUUUUGAGCAUAAAAACAUGGAUCCACAUUUUAUUUGAGGUACUAAGUGAGGAUUUGAUAAAUGUGCUGAUGUGGAAUAUGAAGUUGAUAUUUGUUACGGCCUCCUGAACCAAAAUUAUUAAACCAAGGCUCAAAACUCUGAGACCGAAAACAUACAAGGACGCCACAAAGAUUUAAAGUUCAACCCUAGCUUUAUUUAUUGUAAAUACCCCACUCCCCCCAAAGUAAUCAAAGAUAGAUAAGAAACAAAAGGGGCUGGAGACCCGGAAGAAAAAAAACAAAAGAUGGGAAGAUGCUGAGCCAACCACGUAAUGUGCCGUCAUUAUGGUACCUCCCCCUAAAACUACCUAAGAAGAAAAGAUUAAACUAAAGAAACCAAAAGACCCAAAAUAGGACUAACAGUGAUCUCCAGUCAAAACUCAAAUAAUAAAACCCAACAAUGUUAACAUAUGUGGGGAAAACCAGUAAAACUGGGAAACAAAAGCUCCUCACCACAUCGCUGCCCAGAGUGUGUGCGCCCCUGACUCUCCUACCUGGCUCCUCUAAAUACCCCUCCUCUUCCUCUCCCCCCCUCCUCCUCC